UUCCUCCUGCACCAUUUCCAGGACGUCUGGGUCGCCCAUCUUCGCCAGCUCGUUAAUGACACUGACUGAGUGGUGGCAGAUGGACCACUGCGACUGGAGGAAUGGCGUCGGCUCUGUCAAGUGAUUUGAGACUAGAGGCAAUUCCUUACUUGAUGCAUUUUGGAAUUGUGUUUGAAAUAUGAACGAUCUGUCCAUUUCCUCCGUUGCUACAUCCUUCAUCUUUCAACAGAAUCAUCCACCACACAUUUCCAGGAUUUUGUUCUGAAUAAUGAAUACAUGUUCUUUUAAUGUAAUUGAAUACAUAGUUAAGUAUUGAAUUGGAGUCAAA